GGGUAUGGACACUGAUUUUUUUUUAUUUCGCUUCUUUGUUUAGCUGCAGUGAAAAAUUUCAGUGAUGAAAGUUUCUGCUCAAAGCGAAGCAAUGAUCACAGGCACACGAGGUCGUCAUGGAGUGUUUUGCCAUGGAUUGUGUUCAACGAUUCGCUACUGAACAAGUUCGAUGAUGUCAAACAAAUCUCCAACUGGUUCUUCAAAGGGCAUAUUUUGAGCGACUUUAUCGAGAUUUUAUGAGGAGACAGUUUGACCUGAUUCGGGACGCGAUCGACGACGAGGUGGUCGAGGCUCGGCUUGAGGAACUCUAGCCCAAAAUGUCCGAUCUGUGAUCGGUGAUCGAACCGACACCGAAGCAUCGGUUCUGUCAUAACAAAAUCACCCAAAUCUCAAAUUAAAAUAUCUGAGUCAGGCAUUCUUUGCCCAAGAUCCGCGUAUAAAUAGCUGUGCGUUGAUUUGCUAUGCGCUCGAGAAGCUACCGCUGCCCCAGAAGUAGGUGCUCGACGAAUUGCGGCAUAUGCUGAGCCCGUUUCUGGACGAGGAUCUGCGGAUGCAGCAAUGGGAUAGCAUUUGAAGGAAUCAUUAUGUUAUUUUUAGGAAGGAAUUAUGAUGUUAUUUUAAUCGUACAGAUUUGUACUGUAAUGGUGAAAUAAAAAACACUCUAGAAUGAAUGGAAGGGCAUAUAUUAUCUCAAAUUUCCAAGAUAAUCACAGGAAAUGAACACAUUACUCAUAUAAAUAAAUAGUGCCACUAGCUUCUUACGGAAUGUUAUUUUUUUUUCUGUCUUAAAAUUGUACACUUGUUUCUGAGACUGUUGAAUCAAUAUGUGGCAACAGAACGUGUGAAAAAAUCAUGCUAUUUGUGUAUGUUUAGAAACAAAAUAACUGAGCGUAUGAAUGACUACACCGCAGCUGGACUAAAUUUAGUUAUUCUAAAGUGGGGCGGAAGUAUUUACGAUAGGUGCUGCAAGAACACCGUUAUGA